AUGGCGGAGCCUGCUCCUGCUCCGGCGCAGCCAAGAACCGGCGGUGACGAUGUCAUUUCUGCCAGGAUGCAGCGGGCUCUGGAGCUCUUGUUCCCGUCUAAUCUCGCCGGGAAGGCGGUGCUGUUCGCCGUCGUGGUGGCGCUGCUGCGGAUGCUGCCGACGAGCCAGACCCCCGGGAUCUGGGACCUGCCGCACAUCCUCCUGCUCGGCCUCGUCAUCUCCUACGGCGUCUUCGGCCAGAGGAACGCCGACGCCGAUGUGGUGGUGCCCCCGGUGGCCGCUUCUUCCAAGGUCACCGACGACGACGAGUCCGUGGAGGCCUUCGUCUCCCAGAUACUGCAAGGGCCGCUGGUCUUCGAGGGGAACAGCGGCGACGGAGGCAGCGGCGGCGCCAGGGACGGCGCCGUGCAGGCGUGGAGCUCGCAGUACUACCCCGACGAUGCCCUCGUCGUCGUCGCCGACACGGGCGACGCUGGCGAGAAGCCGAUUCUCCUGCCGGUGAGGAAGCUCAAGCCAUUGGCCGAAGAAUCUGCACCGGGCAAUGUAAGUGAUGACGCUACCGAUGAAGAAGCAGAGUUCCUCCCCAAGGAAGAAAUAGGAUACGGCAGCGCGCGCGAAAAAGCCAUGUCGUCGCCGUCCUCCGUCCUCGAAGCCGGCUUGACCCUCUCGCCGUCCUCGCCUCCUCCCCCGCCGCCUCCACCGCAGUUUCGUGGCGGCGCGCGUGGCCUCGGGAAGGCGAGAGCAAGAAGCUUCAACGAAUAUGGGGUUGGAGACAUGAGCAUGAGCGGACGGACGGGUUUACGGAGCAGGUUCCGGUCAAACUCUUCCAUCCAAGCAACGAGGAGGAGCACUUUCACCGACUACGAUCCUGUGGCUCCGUCCGACGAUCAAGCGGCCGCAGACGAUGAGGCUGACGAGAUGGCCGCGGCCUCGGACAGCUCGUUCAGCGACGACAUGGCCAGGGACGGCGACGAUGAACACGACGAGGAGGAAGACAACUACGACGAAGAGGGAGACGAGGAGGGGCGGCAAGGUGACAACUCCUGCGACGAAGAGCUUUUCGAGCUGGCGACGAGGCCCGAGCCGGAGGAGGACGAGGUGGACAAGAAGGCUGACGAGUUCAUAGCCAAGUUCAGGGAGCAGAUUAGGAUGCAGCGGGCUCAUCCGGGGCCGGGCAGAAGAUGA
rnacentral:rRNA from 1 species